rnacentral:rRNA from 1 species
AACGAACGCUGGCGGCAUGCCUAACACAUGCAAGUCGAACGAGACCUUCGGGUCUAGUGGCGCACGGGUGCGUAACGCGUGGGAACCUGCCCUUAGGUUCGGAAUAACUCCCCGAAAGGGGUGCUAAUACCGGAUAAUGUCUUCGGACCAAAGAUUUAUCGCCUUUGGAUGGGCCCGCGUUGGAUUAGCUAGUUGGUAGGGUAAAAGCCUACCAAGGCGACGAUCCAUAGCUGGUCUGAGAGGAUGAUCAGCCACACUGGGACUGGGACACGGCCCAGACUCCCAGGGGAGGGAGGAGGGGGGAAAAUUGGAAAAGGGGCAAAAGCCUGAUCCAGCAAGGCCGGGGGGGGGAAGAAGGCCUUGGGGUUGUAAAGCUCUUUUCCCCGGGAGGAAAAGAACAGAACGGGGAAAAAAAGCCCCGGCAAACCCCGU